rnacentral:rRNA from 1 species
CACGGGGGGAACGCGAAGAACCUUACCUACUCUUGACAUCCACGGAACUUUUCAGAGAUGAAUUGGUGCCUUCGGGAACCGUGAGACAGGUGGUGCAUGGCUGUUGUCAGCUUGUGUUGUGAAAUGUUGGGUUAAGUCCCGCAACGAGCGCAACCCUUAUCCUUUGUUGCCAGCGGUUAGGCCGGGAACUCAAAGGAGACUGCCAGUGAUAAACUGGAGGAAGGUGGGGAUGACGUCAAGUCAUCAUGCCCCUUACGAGUAGGGCUACACACGUGCUACAAUGGCAUAUACAAAGAGAAGCGACCUCGCGAGAUCAAGCG